rnacentral:rRNA from 1 species
AAGUAUUAAAGGUCCUGCCUGCCCAGUGAAAUAUUUUAAACGGCCGCGGUAUUCUAACCGUGCAAAGGUAGCGUAAUCACUUGUCUUCUAAAUAAAGACCAGUAUGAACGGCUAAAUGAGGAUAAGCCUGUCUCCUACAGCCCAUCAGUGAAACUGAUCUCUCAGUCCAAAAGCUGAGAUACUAACAUAAGACGAGAAGACCCUGUGGAGCUUAAAACUAAUAUGUUAAUAAGCAACUUUUUCCGCACACCUAACAUAAAUUUUAAGUUGGGGCGACUUUGGAACAAAACAAAACUUCCAAGCACAGAACCACCACUUCUAACUAAGGCAAACAGGCCUAAGCAAGUACUGACCCAGUCACACUGAUCAACGAACCAAGUUACCCCAGGGAUAACAGCGCUAUCUUCUUCAAGAGUCCAUAUCGACAAGAAGGUUUACGACCUCGAUGUUGGAUCAGGGCACCCAAAUGGUGCAACCGCUAUUAAAGGUUCGUUGUCACGAU